AGUGAACGCUGGCGGUAGGCCUAACACAUGCAAGUCGAACGGCAGCACAGUAAGAGCUUGCUCUUACGGGUGGCGAGUGGCGGACGGGUGAGGAAUACAUCGGAAUCUACUUUUUCGUGGGGGAUAACGUAGGGAAACUUACGCUAAUACCGCAUACGACCUACGGGUGAAAGCAGGGGAUCUUCGGACCUUGCGCGACUGAAUGAGCCGAUGUCGGAUUAGCUAGUUGGCGGGGUAAAGGCCCACCAAGGCGACGAUCCGUAGCUGGUCUGAGAGGAUGAUCAGCCACACGGGAACUGAGACACGGUCCAGACUCCUACGGGAGGCAGCAGUGGGGAAUAUUGGACAAUGGGCGCAAGCCUGAUCCAGCCAUACCGCGUGGGUGAAGAAGGCCUUCGGGUUGUAAAGCCCUUUUGUUGGGAAAGAAAAGCAGCAGGUUAAUACCCCGCUGUUCUGACGGUACCCAAAGAAUAAGCACCGGCUAACUUCGUG
rnacentral:rRNA from 1 species